GAUAUACUAACCUGUUAAGUAACCGUAGACGCGUCUAGCGUCUGUUUAUGAUAUAAAAACAAGAAGAAGACCGGACACGGAGCGAGAGCGAGAGCAAGAUAUAUGGUUAGUUAAAGUAAAGAGUAAGAGAAAUAUAUGGAUAAGAAGAUUAUUAUUUACAAGACGAACGUAUAGAGAAUAGUAAAGAGCGCUUUCCUGUUGUUAAGAAAAUAUGCCUGUCAACCACAAGCAAAAGCAUAUCCAAAAUUUACAUUAAAAGAGUAUAAAAACAAAUUGAUUGUAGAGGGCGAAAUUAUACCAGAUUCUUUUGACCUAUCUAUAUUUUGGAUUAGAGAAAUAGAAGGAAUGAUUUAUUGGUCAAGACUUUAGUUUACAGACAUUUCAAGGUUUUCCAGUAAUAUCAUUGGAAAUAAAAUGUACAACAAUUAGAAUCCGAAUACAAACAAGGAAAAGCAUAGCGUUACUUUACAAAUAGUUUUGUUGGAGAAAUCAAAUACAAAAAACAGUCAAUUUUUCUCUAUUUUGUUAGUUUCAAAGCAAUUGUAUGUCUUCCAAACAAAUCAAUGUUAAGCAAUAUGAUUUUUGGGUUAUUACUCGAAAAGAUAGAGGUGACAAUAUUAGCGGUGAAGUUAAUGAUCUUCAUUGUAUUUGCACUGCAGGACUUUUAGGAAGCUGUAAUCAUGUUGAAGGUUUGUUAUUUUGCGUCAAAAGUGCAGCAAUUACGGGUGCUUCUAAUUUAAUAUGCACUAGCUUAAAAGCUUCUUGGAAUGUUUUUAGUUAAAAUAACUAAUUGAAGUUAAAAAAGUAUCAAAUUA